rnacentral:lncRNA from 1 species
CCUUUUCCUUUGGCUCUGGCUGGAAUGGUGCGUGGAGGCAUGGUGAUAUGAGAUUUAGGGUUUUACCAAGUUUGUGAGAGAGUGAAGAUGAGAAGGAUUAGGGUUAGCCACUGGUUUUGGGGUUUUUGAGGGCAGAUGAGAUGAAGUAAUGAGAUAAGAGAUGAUAUGAUUGGUUGAUGUGUCGAUGCAUGAGAGAGAAAAAGAAUGCAUUUAAUUCAGAUGACAGCAGUAAGUAUCGAUGCAGAGAGUUAUGCGUCGAUGCCAAGUAUUUCAAAAUUGUC